rnacentral:rRNA from 1 species
UACGUAGGGGGCAAGCGUUGUCCGGAUUUAUUGGGCGUAAAGAGCGUGUAGGCGGUCAGGUAGGUCCGUUGUGAAAACUCGAGGCUCAACCUCGAGACGCCGAUGGAAACCAUCUGACUAGAGUCCGGAAGAGGAGAGUGGAAUUCCUGGUGUAGCGGUGAAAUGCGCAGAUAUCAGGAGGAACACCGGUGGCGAAGGCGGGUCUCGUGGGCCGAUACUGACGCUGAGGAGCGAAAGCGUGGGGAGCGAACAGG